UUAGGCUAUCAAACAAAGCUGCCCAACCUUACACUCAUCCAUCAGUCUUGAGUUAUUAAGAGUAUAAUAACUGCAGAACAUUUACAAGUAGAUGGGAUGGAGUGCUGGCCCCUUUUCAAGAACAUAAUCAGUGCUACAAAACUUUGCAAGAUGGCUAAUUUUCUCAUGCUGGCUGUUCUUUGCUCUGCUAGGACCUGCUAGAAGGAAUGUUUUCUUGAAUUUAGGGUAACUAAUAUAGGAUGCUACCAAAACUGUCUAUCAUACCAUAUCUAGCACCAAAUCUUAAUUCUAUAUUAGUAAAAUAACUGUUGUAUAGCUAUUUCUCAAAAAGGCUUUGUGAUACGUUGAAGGGAAGAAAGAGAUCAGGAUAAGUGGAGGCAUCUAAGGUCUUAUAUGACUCUCUCGAGGAUAGGCUUAAAUAAAUCAAUGCACCAAAGUAGAGGUUGUAAGUGUCUCACAGCAGAAGUGUAACAAGAUGGAGGUAAAAUGGAUCCUUCUAAAGGACAUUUUCUCACUGAUUAAAAGACAGAGGCUGUGGUAGAGUGGAGUAGCUAUGUAAUAAUCUAGGAAUCUGAUCUGCAACUUAGGGUGUGCACAAAGACAUCCAGGCUGGUGCUGCUCAGUUUACUCCCACAGCCUGAAGAGCUGGGAAACACGGUGCAGAGGCUCUUUGCAAGCCAGCACUGAAACAGAAGCAAUAUAGCCCUGAGUGCUGUGCCAGCUGAACAGGAUUAUUCUGCUUCUCAGUCCCACUUGUCAUAUCUACACGGUACUUUGCUGUGCUGUGUGGACUUGCCAGAUCAGCUCAGUGCUAGCUUGGUCUUCAGCAUGUUCUCAGCAAUACAAAUGUAUGUACUCAUGGAAAUUAAGCUAAUCUGCUUGACUUCUAGAAGUGUAAGAGAACGCUUCCUGGGUAGCCAGCAUUGCUCUAAUUAAGUAGGACUGUGGGAAGAAAAAAGCAUGUCAGUCUGUACAGUGACUUUCCAGACAGAGUAUCCUGGCAGGCACUGAAAAGCUUAUUCGUUUGAGCAUCCUGCUCAAGUGAAAAACUUCAGGCUCUAUUUUGCCAGUUUAGACACUCAGAAAUCCUGUUCCUAGGAGGGAACAGGCAGCUGUCAGGAGCUGCCACUGGGCAGAGGAUGAUGCAAGGAGAGGCUGUGCUGAGAGAGCCUGGAGGAGAGCCAGCACAGCCUUGGUGGGAGGCAUGCAGGCCGACUCUAAUAGACUGCUUAAACUCAUGCUGGUGAACCAGAAGUCCAUAGACAAACAUCCUUAAGAGCCCCAAGAGACUUGCUGGUUUCUCACACUUUGAAGAAUAAGAUGAAUUGCUGGCUUACCUGAGGAAGCUCAGAGGAAGACUAUCUCCAGAAAACAGCAAUAAAAUACCAGAUAGAAAAUGUAGUUGCCUUUCUCUUUUUAUUUUUUGGCAUUGUGAGUAAAGCUCUUUCCUCUUUGCUUCAAAGAGCUGAAGAGUAAAGUAGUGUUUGAUUUGAUUCUUCUGCUCCUCUUUUCUAAAUCAGAAUGACACCUGUGUUGCCUUCCAUACCAACAGUCAAUUUAUCAUUAAAUACGUCAACUGCCGAAUACAAUUCAAAUAUUGGUUGAAGAAAACAAAAGCUCUUUAAAGAGAAACUGGAUUUUCAAAGGUAACUGCUGUAAGGCUGCAUUCCUUCUAAGGGUAGAAUCUAAGCUGCUGCUGACACAUCAGAUUAGAAAAAUAAUCAGCUGCAUCUUCAAAGAACAUUCUCGUCUUCUGCAUUUAAUUCUUUUGGGCCUACAUGUAAAUAAAGUGCUUAAUUCUUUAAAUCCAGAUGACCAGCUGAGUUUUACUUCUUUCACUUCUUUCACUUUUAAAGUCUCAAAAGCAAGGAGACCAUGGCUUUGUUUCAUACCUUGCUAUAGGACAAGAACUUCCACAGUUGAGACCUUAGACAUAGGACCUCCUCCUAGACAUUCUAUUGAAGACCUGAACAAUGAUCUGACCUCACUUAACGGCUCCGUGUCACCUUCUCUCCCCUCUUCUUCUCAUAUUCUCCCCACAUACUUAUACUGCCAAGCUCUAUUUGCCUUUUACUGAGUGCAUUCUCCUCAAAUUUCCUUAAUGCAGCGCACGGCGCGUGCUCACAUACUCACCUUGUGCCUUUGACUUUAGCCAGGAAAUGUGCCCUGCCCUUCUCUCCAAGGUUCUUGCCUCCACAGCAGAGGUUCCUCAGCUGCUCAGGAACCGAUGCUGAGCUGCCAUGAAUUAGAG
ensembl:lncRNA